GCAGGAUAUGACAUAACAGACAGCUCACCCUUGAGCAGAGGUGAAAAAAAGCUUUCUACAAUCCCUGUUUUUUCCCUUGCCAGCACUUUCUAUUUGCUUUCUCUCACUUCCUCAUUUCCUACCCACACAGCUUCUGACUUUAAAUGAGAAUGCAUGCCAUAAAGUGAACUCCUGGGAUAGUGAUAUGUCUUCAUGCCAUUAUAGAAAUGUGCUUUUCACCUGAUCUGAUCUGACUUCUUUACAGAAUCUGUCCAUCUAGAGGUGCAUUUGCUGCUUUUGAAAGGAGGACGUUUCACUUGGAUUCGAUCUGGUUGAGCAGAUCUGUCUGCUGCACUCACCUGGUCCCUGCCCGCCAGGUGCAUGCUGGGUAGGGGCACCACAGCUCUUCAUGAGCCAAAAAGCAGCACUAAUGGCAAGAGAACUUUGCCGUCACCAACAGGGACACAAGGGACUUUUAAUACCACCAUCACCCGUCCUUUAUUCUUUCAGUCCCUUCCAUUCCCUUGCUUCAGGGUUUUCUACAUUGCUGGACACAGAGGUUCACAGACAGCCUACGCUGCUGAUGUGAAAACCGAGGGAAUUAGCUGCAAACCUCCUCCGCCCACAGAACAAGGACACGAUGAACACGGCAAAUGGAUCUCCACAUGGUAAGUGUAAGAGGAAGGAAAACAUUCACAGCGGCUCAUGAGGGGACGGGAUUGAACUGUGACGGAGACACUGACACGACACGCAGAUGGGACAAUCUCUCGAGGGGCUUGCUCAUGUUCUGAGUCACCAAUCUGCUGCAGGUACUAAAAUAUUUAUGGAUGUGUAAAUAUGAAUGUGUAGGUACUCUGUAGGUUGUAUAAAAUUGAAGUGGAAAUCUGUGAAGAGAGUCGUUCUUCUUUCUCUCAUCUUACUGUCUGAAAUCUUGUUUAUCGGUG
ensembl:lncRNA